CAUAAGCCUCUCUAAAUGAAAGUCCCUCCUCCGCUUGACUGGCACAAUGAUCUGGGAGCUUCCAGCGAUGGGCUUGAUGUCAAGGUUGAUGCUGUAUUCUACCACUAUGGCAUUUUCUCGAGUCUGAGCUCCUGCUAACCAACAAAAUGGCUGCAUCUCACCAAAUAUUGUCCCUUUGGUGACCAGAGUACUUGGGAAAGAAGUAAUUAGAGACUGGGACUCAAACCAUUGUUGUAGACUGAAGGCAUUCCUCUCCUUAAACUUGGGUCCAUUGACCACAAAUUCAGGAAUGGUUUUCAGCGGUCACUUCACUGGUCUGAUGUUGGGAAAGCAUUUAUGGUGAUCUCGUUGAUUGUUAUACUUGGUGAAAGUCAGUCACAUGAACUGAGCAUGCUCAGUGGACUGGAAUGCACUUCAGGGGCAGUUGGAUGGAAUGUCCAACUGACGGCAGGAAAGCAAAGCCCUCUCUACCUCCCUCUCCAUUAAUUCGUCACUGGCAUGUUCAGGAUCUUGGCCCCUCACUCCUGUCUCAGGCUUUUUCUCUGUGUCCAUGCUUUCUUUUUAUUUUCAAGUUUUUUAAAAAUCUAGACCAAUUUUCCAUAAUGUUUUCAACUUUUCUAGCAUAAAAUGAAAUCUGAUCUCCAACUCUAAAUCUAAAUCUCCAACUCUAAAUCUUCAAUAUAUAUCCAGUCUCUGUGUGAAUAUGGAGGAUGAUAGAGAAUGGGAAGAGGGCACUGCUAGUCUAUAGGGCUAAAUGUCAAAGGGGUUGAGAAGGAGAGCUCAUGACAAUUUUCAUCUGCUGCUGCUUUUUUGGCUAUCUUAACUUCAUUAGCGAAGCUUAUUCCAGAUUCAAAGGUCAAGUGCUUCCAACUAAACCUUUGAAUUCAUCAUUCUUUUCAUAGAUAUUUUGCGCUGUAUCAAAGAGGUCCUCAACAUUUUCUCCUUCCCAAGUCAGCAUCACUUUCAGAGUUUUGUCUGCAAUUGACUUAUCAUGGGAUUUACUUGGUAUCCUUAUUUAAAAUGUGAAUGUCCAGGCUCCACUUAGAUCCAAUAAAUUAGAAUGAGGGGGCAGCAAUCUGUAUUUUAAAUGUGUACCCCUGUUGAUUCUUAUGUUCACUAACUUGAAAAGCACUAACCUAGAUCCUUGCCUAUUCAUAGUGGAUCAGUAAAUAGCAGUUAACUGAAGAGUGUUCAUUGUGGUUGGGUAAGGAGCUCUUCCCCAUUAUCAUGACUCACUCACUGAAGAAUAGGCCAAGAUUGCAUGUGAUUUGAACUUUAUUUACAAGAUGACUGCUGCAUAUCCAGAGCUCAUGUUUGCAUUCCAGGCAGGAAGAAGGUAGAAUACAAAACUGUCUUCAUGUGAGAGUUUACAUUUUCAAUUUGGAAAGAGAAGACAUCCACAGUUAAUUUCAUUCACAUAUUAUUGGCUUGGGCUGGUUAGCUGCAAGGCUUUUUUCUGUUUGAGGAUUAUAAGUGUGAGAUCCAGAAUCUUGGCACAGCAAUGAAAAUUUCCCAGCAUCCUCCUUCAUUUCUACUAAGCACUGACUGUUGGAGUGCUUUUGAUGAAGUCCAUUAUCAUUUUGGCAGUUCAACAAAGACUUCCAGGAGAGAAGCGGACAGCAGGGUUUGGAACAAACACAUCCUUGAGCUGUUUUCUAUUAUUCAUACAGGCUACUCAGCUUUUUUUUUUUUGUUAUUGUUGAAGAAAACUAGAUUAGAGCAAAAAUUAACUGCUGUAUCAAUACAUCACUCUUAGCAGGUGUAACUCUGUGGUGUCUGGAAGCUAAUAAGCUACCUUUCUGGGUGGCACAUUUUUCGGGAAUCCCUUCGGUCUCUCCUCAAUGCAAAAGAUACACAAAGAGAGCUAGAGUCAAUGCUGGAGUGCAAAAGGAGAAGCUUUUUGUGGUCUCUAAGGGCUUAUUUAUUUUCAUAUACAUUGUCUACAUACUACCAGGCACUCUGAACCAACUUUAAUUGUACUUACUUCCAUUUGUAAUCACGUUUCUAUUUUGUGAUUAUGUGGUUGAUAUCAUGAAGACAAGGAUCACAUGCAUUUUGCUAUGUAUUUGUAUACCCUACGCCUAACAAAAUGACUUUACCAUGACUGUCCUUCAAUAAAUAGAUGACCACUAACAACGUAAUGAAUAAAUACAGUUCACCUGGCUUAGUAUCAUUUGUGAAAGUCAUACAUUUUUUAUUUCAAAAUGAAAUUUACUGAAUAUUUAUCCUGUGGUAGCAGGAAAAAUCCUGUGGCCAUUUUAGGCAGACUAAAAUUAUGGUCCUAUUUUAAAUAUAUUUCUUAAAACCUCUUUCCUAAAUAUUUAUUUAGUGGAAGUAAGGGAGAAAAGUGAUUUGCAUUAAAGAAAUAUACAUAAAGACAGGUCUACUUAUGAAUUAACAUGCACUGACCAGAGCAGAACGAAUGUUUAAAAAGUUGUCAAAAGGUUUAUCUGAAUGUUACACAGAGACUGUUAGCUGUCUCUUAAAUACAUAUUCUUUCUUUCAAUAGUAAUUGAAAAGCUUUAGUUGGGUAGCAAUAUUUCUAUAAAAACUACAUUUCCCGGUCUUCCUUGCCAUCAAGGAACCAUUUGACAAUGCUCUGGCCUUUAGCAUGUUAACAGAGGAGCUGUGUACAACUUCAGGGUCAUGCCUGUUCAAGUAAAGGGGGCAGACCUCUACUUCCUUUCGCCUCCUUAUUGACUGGAAUGUGGAUAUUGCAGUGAGUCAUUUUGACUUGAGAAUGAUAUCAUUUAGGAUGGCAGAAGAGUACUGUAGAAGGCCUGUCUCAGACACCAUUGAGUUCAUGUACCCACCAGGACAGCUAAACAAAACCUCUAGAGAGAGAAAUAAACUUCUCUAUGAAUGACAUUUUUAUUUAUCCAGGAUUAGUACUGCAGCAAACCUUAAAUUGUCAGCUUGUGGCUAAAUAAGAUAGCUCCUACUUGUCUCAGAAUACUCAAUAGAAUUAAGCCAAUGGUGAAGAGGAGGCUUAUCGAAUUUCCCUUCAAGGGUGCUAUCUACUUUGAUAGGGUUUAUGUAUGGAAUGGUGUGGAAACUCAAGUUAGUUUACUCUGGUGAUGACUCAGCAUCCUUUUUAGGUUGAUCUGCCUAUAAUCUGACUCUGCAUAAUAUGUAUCCUGUCUUUCAAAAGAACAGAUUUGAUGUUAGGGAAAACAUUAGGGUUUUUAAAUAUAUAUUUUAUUGCAUUUUAGGUUUUGGGGUACACAACACACGUGAAGAACAUGCAAGAUUGUUGCAUAUGUACACACAUGACAAUGUGGUUUGCUACCUUCCUCCCCAUCACCUGUAUCUGGCAUUUCUCCCCAUGUUAUCCCUCCCCAAUUCCCCACCCUCUGCUGUCUCUCCCCUAGUUCCCCUCCACAGACCCCAAUGUGUGAUGCUCCCCUCCCUGUGUCCAUGUGUUCUCAUUGUUCAACACCUGCCUAUGAGUGAGAACAUGCAGUGUUUGAUUUUCUGUUCUGUGUCAGUUUGCUGCGAAUGAUAGUUUCCAGGUUCAUCCAUGUCCCUACAAAAGACACAAACUCAUCGUUUUUUAUGGCUGCAUAGUAUUCCAUGGUGUAUAUGUGCCACAUUUUCCCUGUCCAAUCUGUCAUCAAUGGGCAUUUGGAUUGGUUCCAGGUCUUUGCUAUUGUAAACAGUGCUGCAAUGAACAUUCAUGUGCAUGUGUUCUUAUAAUAGAAAGAUUUAUAAUCCUUCGGAUAUAUACCCAGUAAUGGGAUUGCUGGGUCAAAUGGAAUUUCUAUUUCUAGGUCCUUGAGGAAUUGCCACACUUUUUCUUCCACAAUAGUUGAACUAAUUUACACUCCCACCAGCAGUGUAAAAGUGUUCCUAUUUCUCCACAUCCUCUCCAGCAUCUGUUGUCUCCAGAUUUUUUAAUGAUUGCCAUUCUAACUGAUGUGAGAUGGUAUCUCAAUGUAGUUUUGAUUUGUAUUUCUCUAAUGACCAGUGAUGAUGAGCAUUUUUUCAUAUGUUUGUUGGCCUCAUAUAUGGUUUUUUCUUCUGUGAUGGACAGAAUGUUUGAUAUUGCAAAGAUGAGAAAGAAGAAAAUUAAAUAGAAAUAACACUCACUAUGAGUGACUCUUACGUAGGACAGUUUUCCAGGUGUCUUUGGACCAACCCAUGUCUCCCCACUUUCUGGCUUAUAGUUCUCAAAAAUAACUGCAGAAUGUGCUGAAGAUGUAAGAUCCUGAGAUAAGGAGAAGCUGGCCAGAUUAGCUUUGUCUCUGUUCCAGUCUCUUGCUGGAAACAUGAUACCCUUCAAUAAUUUAGCCCAGAGAGCUCCAUGACCUUGGUGUAUAAAACCUGGGGCAGUCUGUUUUUUGGGGUCAGUUAUCUGUGGUAUAAUUGGGGCAUGUGCAGUUGAGA